rnacentral:rRNA from 1 species
AGCGAACGCUGGCGGCAGGCUUAACACAUGCAAGUCGAGCGGGCACUUCGGUGUCAGCGGCAGACGGGUGAGUAACACGUGGGAACGUACCCUUCGGUUCGGAAUAACGCCGGGAAACUAGCGCUAAUACCGGAUACGCCCUUGUGGGGAAAGGUUUACUGCCGAAGGAUCGGCCCGCGUCUGAUUAGCUAGUUGGUGGAGUAAUGGCCUACCAAGGCGACGAUCAGUAGCUGGUCUGAGAGGAUGAUCAGCCACACUGGGACUGAGACACGGCCCAGACUCCUACGGGAGGCAGCAGUGGGGAAUAUUGGACACUGGGCGCAAGCCUGAUCCAGCCAUGCCGCGUGAGUGAUGAAGGCCUUAGGGUUGUAAAGCUCUUUUGUCCGGGACGAUAAUGACGGUACCGGAAGAAUAAGCCCCGGCUAACUUCGUG